rnacentral:rRNA from 1 species
UACGAGGGGGGCAAGCGUUGUUCGGAAUUAUUGGGCGUAAAGAGCGUGUAGGCGGUUUGGUAGGUCCGCUGUGAAAACUCGAGGCUCAACCUCGAGACGCCGGUGGAAACCAUCAGGCUAGAGUCCGGAAGAGGAGAGUGGAAUUCCUGGUGUAGCGGUGAAAUGCGCAGAUAUCAGGAAGAACACCCGUGGCUAAGGCGGCUCUCUAGUACGGUACUGACGCUGAGACGCGAAAGCGUGGGGAGCGAACAGG